rnacentral:rRNA from 1 species
UGGGGAAUAUUGGACAAUGGGCGCAAGCCUGAUCCAGCCAUGCCGCGUGUGUGAAGAAGGCCUUCGGGUUGUAAAGCACUUUUGUCCGGAAAGAAAAGCAUUCGGUUAAUACCCGGGUGUCCUGACGGUACCGGAAGAAUAAGCACCGGCUAACUUCGUGCCAGCAGCCGCGGUAAUACGAAGGGUGCAAGCGUUACUCGGAAUUACUGGGCGUAAAGCGUGCGUAGGUGGUGAGUUAAGUCUGUCGUGAAAGCCCCGGGCUCAACCUGGGAAUGGCGAUGGAUACUGGCUCGCUAGAGUGCGGUAGAGGAGAGUGGAAUUCCCGGUGUAGCAGUGAAAUGCGUAGAGAUCGGGAGGAACAUCAGUUGCGAAGGCGGCUCUCUGGACCAGCACUGACACUGAGGCACGAAAGCGUGGGGAGCAAACAGG